UGAACCUCCAUUUCUCUGUUC
rnacentral:siRNA from 1 species